CCUACGGGAGGCUGCAGUGAGGAAUAUUGGUCAAUGGACGAGAGUCUGAACCAGCCAAGUAGCGUGAAGGAUGACUGCCCUAUGGGUUGUAAACUUCUUUUAUAUGGGAAUAAAACGUUCCACGUGUGGGAUUUUGUAUGUACCAUAAGAAUAAGGAUCGGCUAACUCCGUGCCAGCAGCCGCGGUAAUACGGAGGAUCCGAGCGUUAUCCGGAUUUAUUGGGUUUAAAGGGAGCGUAGGUGGAUUGUUAAGUCAGUUGUGAAAGUUUGCGGCUCAACCGUAAAAUGGCAGUUGAAACUGGCAGUCUUGAGUACAGUAGAGGUGGGCGGAAUGCGUGGUGUAGCGGUGAAAUGCUUAGAUAUCACGAAGAACUCCGAUUGCGAAGGCAGUUCACUGGACUGCAACUGACACUGAGGCUCGAAAGUGUGGGUAUCAAACAGGAUUAGAUACCCUUGUAGUC
rnacentral:rRNA from 1 species